rnacentral:rRNA from 1 species
GGAGGAAAAGAAACUAACAAGGAUUCCCCUAGUAACGGCGAGUGAAGCGGGAAGAGCUCAAAUUUGAAAUCUGGUAGCCUUCGGUUGCCCGAGUUGUAAUCUAGAGAAGUGUUUUCCGUGCCGGCCCAUGUACAAGUCCCUUGGAACAGGGCGUCAUAGAGGGUGAGAAUCCCGUCCUUGACAUGGACCCCCGGUGCUUUGUGAUACACUUUCAACGAGUCGAGUUGUUUGGGAAUGCAGCUCAAAAUGGGUGGUGAAUUCCAUCUAAAGCUAAAUAUUGGCGAGAGACCGAUAGCGAACAAGUACCGUGAGGGAAAGAUGAAAAGCACUUUGGAAAGAGAGUUAAACAGUACGUGAAAUUGUUGAAAGGGAAACGAUUGAAGUCAGUCAUGCUCUUGGGACUUACCUCCCUUGAGUGGGGUCAACAUCAGUUUUGAUCGAUGGAUAAAGGCACGGGGAAGGUAGCACUCUCGGGUGAACUUAUAGCCUCGCGUCAUAUACAUUGAUUGGGACUGAGGAACGCAGCAUGC